AAGCAGCGUGUAAUUAAAGUAGAGUUAACUCGAUCGAACAAUCAAGCAAACAAGAUGAUUCAUCGAUCAUGGAUGUUUUAGCUGAUUAUUUACGUUUGGUGAAAACUUGUUGAUGGUUUUUGGGGAAGACAAUGGAAUGUUAUGAACACCACUAUCUUCGAAAGCACAACAAUAAAACACAGGAGGGUGACAACAAGGGGGUGUAACUCCUUGAGUUGUUGUCACUACGAGGAACAACAUAAUCACAAUAAUGUUUAUACCAAUUUCUUUGGCCAUGAUGUUCU
rnacentral:lncRNA from 1 species